GACGGAGGAUGCAAGCGUUAUCCGGAAUGAUUGGGCGUAAAGCGUCCGCAGGUGGCAGUUCAAGUCUGCUGUCAAAGACCGGGGCUUAACUUCGGAAAGGCAGUGGAAACUGAACAGCUAGAGUAUGGUAGGGGCAGAGGGAAUUCCUGGUGUAGCGGUGAAAUGCGCAGAUAUCAGGAGGAACACCGGUGGCGAAGGCAGGCUCGUGGGACG
rnacentral:rRNA from 1 species